rnacentral:rRNA from 1 species
CGUACGGCUCAUUAGAGCAGAUAUCACCUUGUUCGGAAUCCUAAUAUGGAUAACUGCGGAAAUACUGGAGCUAAUACAUGCAACUAAACCCCAACGUAAGGCGGGGUGCAAUUAUUAGAACAGACCAAACGUUUUCGGACGUUGUUUGUUGACUCUGAAUAAAGCAGUUUACUGUCAGUUUCGACUGACUCUAUCCGAAAAGGGUGUCUGCCCUUUCAACUAGAUGGUAGUUUAUUGGACUACCAUGGUUGUUACGGGUAACGGAGAAUAAGGGUUCGACUCCGGAGAGGGAGCCUUAGAAACGGCUACCACGUCCAAGGAAGGCAGCAGGCGCGAAACUUAUCCACUGUUGAGUAUGAGAUAGUGACUAAAAAUAUAAAGACUCAUCCUUUUGGAUGAGUUAUUUCAAUGAGUUGAAUACAAAUGAUUCUUCGAGUAGCAAGGAGAGGGCAAGUCUGGUGCCAGCAGCCGCGGUAAUUCCAGCUCUCCUAGUGUAUCUCGUUAUUGCUGCGGUUAAAAAGCUCGUAGUUGGAUCUAGGUUACGUGCUGCAGUUCGCAAUUUGCGUCAACUGUAGUCGUGACUUCUAAUUUGCUGGUUUGAGGUUGGGUCCGCCCUUCAACUGCCAGCAGGUUUACCUUGAAUAAAUCAGAGUGCUCAAAACAAGUGUUUGCUUGAAUAGCUCAUCAUGGAAUAAUGAAACAGGACUUCGGUUCUUUUUGUUGGUUCUAGAACUGAUUUAAUGGUUAAGAGGGACAAACCGGGGGCAUUCGUAUCAUUACGCGAGAGGUGAAAUUCGUGGACGUAGUGAGACGCCAACCAAGUUUUUCUCCUCAAAUGGGGAGGGGCUUGUGUUCGU